AGGGGGUGCGGCUGAGCGAGCAGGUCUUCACCACGGAGAUAAAAUCAUCAAGGUUAAUGGAGUUAAUGUAACUCAUUCCACUCACACGGAAGUUGUUGAGCUUAUCAAAUGUGCAUCUCGGGGGUAUCUUGGCUAAUAGAGAUAGAACCUUCAAUCCCAAACCCACUCCCUUGUUUGGCCCUUCAAGAGCUCUGUCCUUCAGUGGUUCCCUCUGAGUCCAACACUCCAGGAUAAUAUUCCUCCUUUGUCUCCGUAAGGUUUUCUUCUAUUGAGCUACUGCAGAAGGACACAUUCCCAUUUUUGAUGUGCUGUCAAAUGGAUUUGUUCUUAUGUGGAUAUGUAUUUUAAUAAAAAGAUUUGAUGGAAACGUGUA